rnacentral:rRNA from 1 species
UACGUAGGGGGCAAGCGUUGUCCGGAUUUAUUGGGCGUAAAGAGCGUGUAGGCGGCCUGAAAGGUCAGCUGUGAAAACUCGAGGCUCAACCUCGAGACGUCGGUUGAAACCAGCUGGCUAGAGUCCGGAAGAGGAUUGUGGAAUUCCCGGUGUAGCGGUGAAAUGCGCAGAUAUCGGGAAGAACACCCGUGGCGAAGGCGGCACUCUGGGACGGUACUGACGCUGAGACGCGAAAGCGUGGGGAGCGAACAGG